rnacentral:rRNA from 1 species
UUAAGUAGCCACAGGUGUCUACUUAACGAGAUCCCGUCUGAUCUCGGAAGCUAAGCAGGGUCGGGUCUGGUUAGUACUUGGAUGGGAGACCGCCUAGGAAGACCAGGUGCUGUAGGCA